rnacentral:rRNA from 1 species
CAUGUAGGCGGUUUUUUAAGUCUGGAGUGAAAAUGCGGGGCUCAACCCCGUAUGGCUCCGGAUACUGGAAGACUUGAGUGCAGGAGAGGAAAGGGGAAUUCCCAGUGUAGCGGUGAAAUGCGUAGAUAUUGGGAGGAACACCAGUGGCGAAGGCGCCUUUCUGGACUGUGUCUGACGCUGAGAUGCGAAAGCCAGGGUAGCGAACG